rnacentral:lncRNA from 1 species
GAGAGCUGGCACCACACCUGGGGUCAAGGGCACUCCACCUGCGGGAGGGGUGAUACCUUCCUAACCCGGGUGUCCAUGGGAGCUCUCACUACUCGCCGCUCCCCCCCCCCCCGUUAGGGGUACUCCCAACCCUAGUGUCCAAAAUAUUGCCCCCCUGGAGGGGGAGACCCCAAACCCGGUUGUCAGGGGAGCUCGCAGGCAACCAGGGUUAAGGGCACUCCACCCCAGGGAGGGACGAGACCCCCGAACCUGGGUUCCCGGUGGAGCUAACACUGCACCUAGGGUCGACGGCACUCCCUCCGGGAAGAGGCGAGACCCUCCCAAUCAGGAUGUCUGGGGAGCUCCCACCUAACCGGGGUCAAAGGCACUCCUCCAACUGGAGGGGUGAGACCCCCGAAUCUGUGUUCCUCGGGUAUCUCUCAUCACACCUGGGGUUGAGGGCACUCCCCCCCGUGGAGGGGCGAGACCCCAGAACCCAAGUGUCUCAAGGUCUCCCACCCCAGGAGGUGGAGACCCCUGAACCAGGGUGUGUGGGGGAGCUCCCAGCGUACCCAGGGUCGAGGGCACUCCUCCACCGUGAGGGGCGUGACAUCCUGUACCCAGGUGUUGGAGAGAGCUCCCACUGCACCUUGGCCCCGGAAGGGCGAGACACUCUGACCCAGGUGUCAGGGAAACUCCCACUGCAUGCUGUGUCCAGGGCACUCCCAACACUGGGAGAGGUGAUACCUUUCGAACCCAGGUGUUGAGGGAAGUUCCCACCACACCCGGGGUCGAAGGAAAUCCCUCCCCUGAGAGGCGAGCCCUCCUGAACACGGGUGUCGGGGGAAUCUCCCAUCCCACCCAGGGUCGUGGACACUCUCCCCCCUUAGGGGCGAGACCCCACAAACCCGUGUGUUGAGGGGAACCCACAUGGAUCCCGGGUCAAGGGCACCCCCUUUGUAAGGGCGAGACCCUGAACCUGGGUGGCAGGGGUGCUCUCACCGCACUCUCGGUUGAGAGCCCUAUUUCCCCAGGAGGGGCGAGACCCACAGAACCCGGGUGUUGGGGGAAGCUCCCACUGCACCUGGGAUAGAGGACACUCCCUCCUGGGAGGGGCAAGAACACCCAAACCCGGGUACCAGGGGGAGCUCCCACCACACCCUGGCUCAUGUGCACUUUCCCCCCCCCUCCCUGGGAGGAGAAAGAUCCACCAAACGCCGGUGUUGGGGUGACACCCCCCUGGGAAGGGUGACACACCCCAAACCCAGGAGUUCGGGGGAGCACCCAACGCACCUGGGAUCGAGGCCACUCCGCCCCACUGGGAAGGGUGAGGCCCCAUGAACCCUGGUGUCUGGGGAAGCUCCCACCACACGUGGGGUCGAGGGCACUCCCCCUGCAGGAGGGUCGAGACCCCCGAACCCGGGUGUUGGUUGGAGCUCCCACCGCACUUGGGGUUGAGGGCACUCCCACCCUGGGAGGGUCAGACCCCCUGAACUCCAGUAUCGGAAGUACUACCCCCCAAGGAGGAGGAGACCCCAAACCCAGUUGUCGGGGGGGGGAGCUCUCAGCGCAUCUGGGAUCAAGGGCACUUCACCCACCGGGAGGAGCGAGACCCCAGAACCCAGGUUCGGGGUGGACCUACCACUGCAUCUGGGGUCGAGGGCACUCCCACUCCAGAAGGGGUGAGACUCCCCAAACCUGGGUGUCGAGGGAGCUCCCACCGCACCAGGGGUCGAAGGCUUUUUCUCCCAUGGGAGGAGCGAGACUCCCGAAACUAGAUGAUGCGGGGAACUCCCACUGCACCUGGGGUCGAGAGCACUCCCCCCACCCCCUGGAAGAUGUGAGAUUCCCCAAACCCGGGUGUCGUCGGGAGUUCCCAGAGCACCCAUGGACUAGGGCACUCCCCCUUCCAGAAGCGGCGAGACACCCUGAACAUGCGUGUCGUGCUGAGCUCAAAACCCACUUGGGGUCGAGGGC